CUUGGUCAUUUAGAGGAAGUAAAAGUCGUAACAAGGUCUCCGUAGGUGAACCUGCGGAGGGAUCAUUGAAGAGUUAGGGCCUCCGGCCCGACCUCCAACCCUUUGUACUUGAUGCCAUGUUGCCUCGGGGGCGACCCUGCCGUCCGCGGUCUGGGGCCUCCGGUGGACCACUCAACCCUGCAUCUUUGCGUCUGAGUAAAUUUGUAAAUUAAACAAAACUUUCAACAACGGAUCUCUUGGUUCUGGCAUCGAUGAAGAACGCAGCGAAAUGCGAUAAGUAAUGUGAAUUGCAGAAUUCAGUGAAUCAUCGAAUCUUUGAACGCACAUUGCGCCCUCUGGUAUUCCGGGGGGCAUGCCUGUUCGAGCGUCAUUACACCACUCAAGCCUCGCUUGGUAUUGGGCGCCGCGCCUGCCGCGCGCCUUAAUGUCUCCGGCUGAGCUCAUCGUCUCUUAGCGUUGUGGCAAACAAUGUUCGCUUGUGAGACUGACGGGUUUGCGCCGUUAAACAUCUUCUAAAGGUUGACCUCGGAUCAGGUAGGGAUACCCGCUGAACUUAAGCAUAUCAAUAAGCGGAGGAAAAGAAACCAACAGGGAUUGCCCUAGUAACGGCGAGUGAAGCGGCAACAGCUCAAAUUUGAAAUCUGGCGUCUUCGGCGCCCGAGUUGUAAUUUUAGAGGAUGCUUCUGGGUAGCCACCGGUCUAAGUUCCUUGGAACAGGACGUCACAGAGGGUGAGAAUCCCGUAUGUGACCGGCCAGGCACCCUGUACGUAGCUCCUUCGACGAGUCGAGUUGUUUGGGAAUGCAGCUCUAAAUGGGAGGUAAAUUCCUUCUAAAGCUAAAUACCGGCCAGAGACCGAUAGCGCACAAGUAGAGUGAUCGAAAGAUGAAAAGCACUUUGGAAAGAGAGUUAAAAAGCACGUGAAAUUGUUGAAAGGGAAGCGCUUGCAACCAGACUUGUUAUCGGUGUUCCGCCGGUCUUCUGACCGGUCUACUCAUCGUUUGCAGGCCAGCAUCACCUGGGACCGCCGGAUAAAGGCUUUGGGAAUGUAGCUCCCCUCGGGGAGCGUUAUAGCCCUUUGCACAAUACGGUGCGACCCGGGUGAGGUCCGCGCUUCGGCUAGGAUGCUGGCGUAAUGGUUGUAAGCGGCCCGUCUUGAAACACGGACC
rnacentral:rRNA from 1 species